rnacentral:rRNA from 1 species
UGCCAGACUCCUACGGGAGGCAGCAGUGGGGAAUAUUGCACAAUGGGGGAAACCCUGAUGCAGCGACGCCGCGUGAGCGAUGAAGUAUUUCGGUAUGUAAAGCUCUAUCAGCAGGGAAGAAAAUGACGGUACCUGACUAAGAAGCCCCGGCUAACUACGUGCCAGCAGCCGCGGUAAUACGUAGGGGGCAAGCGUUAUCCGGAUUUACUGGGUGUAAAGGGAGCGUAGACGGCGAUGCAAGCCAGAUGUGAAAGCCCGGGGCUCAACCCCGGGACUGCAUUUGGAACUGUGUGGCUGGAGUGUCGGAGAGGCAGGCGGAAUUCCUAGUGUAGCGGUGAAAUGCGUAGAUAUUAGGAGGAACACCAGUGGCGAAGGCGGCCUGCUGGACGAUGACUGACGUUGAGGCUCGAAAGCGUGGGGAGCAAACAGGAUUAGAUACCCUAGUA